rnacentral:rRNA from 1 species
GGACUACUGGGGUUUCUAAUCCUGUUUGCUCCCCACGCUUUCGUGCCUUAGUGUCAGGAACGAGCCAGUAAUCUGCCUACGCCAUCGGUGUUCCUCCUAAUAUCAACGGAUUUUACCCCUACAUUAGGAAUUCCAAUUACCUCUCUCGUCCUCUAGCUCUGCAGUUUUGAUAAUGUGUAUUCGGUUGAGCCGAACGCUUUCACUAUCAACUUACAGUGCCACCUACGCAACUCUUUACGCCCAGUAAUUCCGGAUAACGCUUGGAUCCUCCGUAUUACCGCGGCUGCUGGCAC